rnacentral:rRNA from 1 species
AGUGAACGCUGGCGGUAGGCCUAACACAUGCCAGUCGAACGGCAGCACAGUAAGAGCUUGCUCUUACGGGUGGCGAGUGGCGGACGGGUGAGGAAUACAUCGGAAUCUACUUUUUCGUGGGGGAUAACGUAGGGAAACUUACGCUAAUACCGCAUACGACCUACGGGUGAAAGCAGGGGAUCUUCGGACCUUGCGCGAUUGAAUGAGCCGAUGUCGGAUUAGCUAGUUGGCGGGGUAAAGGCUCACCAAGGCGACGAUCCGUAGCUGGUCUGAGAGGAUGAUCAGCCACACUGGAACUGAGACACGGUCCAGACUCCUACGGGAGGCAGCAGUGGGGAAUAUUGGACAAUGGGCGCAAGCCUGAUCCAGCCAUACCGCGUGGGUGAAGAAGGCCUUCGGGUUGUAAAGCCCUUUUGUUGGGAAAGAAAAGCAGCAGGUUAAUACCCCGCUGUUCUGACGGUACCCAAAGAAUAAGCACCGGCUAACUUCGUG